GAUGAACGCUGGCGGCGUGCCUAAUACAUGCAAGUCGAGCGAACAGACGAGGAGCUUGCUCCGUUGACGUUAGCGGCGGGCGGGUGAGUAACACGUGUAUAACCUACCUAUAAGACUGGGAUAACUUCGGGAAACCGGAGCUAAUACCGUAUAACAUGUUGAACCGCAUGGUUCAACAGUGAAAGACGGUCUUGCUGUCACUUAUAGAUGGAUCCGCGCCGCAUUAGCUAGUUGGUAAGGUAACGGCUUACCAAGGCAACGAUGCGUGGCCGACCUGAGAGGGUGAUCGGCCACACUGGAACUGAGACACGGUCCAGACUCCUACGGGAGGCAGCAGUAGGGAAUCUUCCGCAAUGGGCGAAAGCCUGACGGAGCAACGCCGCGUGAGUGAAGAAGGUCUUCGGAUCGUAAAACUCUGUUAUUAGGGAAGAACAAAUGUGUAAGUAACUAUGCACGUCUUGACGGUACCUAAUCAGAAAGCCACGGCUAACUACGUG
rnacentral:rRNA from 1 species